AGUGAACGCUGGCGGUAGGCCUAACACAUGCAAGUCGAACGGCAGCACAGUAAGAGCUUGCUCUUACGGGUGGCGAGUGGCGGACGGGUGAGGAAUACAUCGGAAUCUACUUUUUCGUGGGGGAUAACGUAGGGAAACUUACGCUAAUACCGCAUCCGACCUACGGUUGAAAGCAGGGGAUCUUUGGACCUUGCGCGAUUGAAUGCGCCGAUGUCGGAUUAGCUAGUUGGCGGGGUAAAGGCCCACCAAGGCGACGAUCCGUAUCUGGUCUGAGAGGAGGUUCAGCCACACUAGAACUGAGACACGGUCCAGACUCCUACGGGAGGGAGCAGUGGGGAACAUUGGACAAUGGGCGCAAGCCUGAUCCAGCCAUACCGCGUGGGUUAAGAAGGCCUUCGGGUUGGAAAGCCCUUUUGUUGGGAAAGAAAAGCAGCAGGUUAAUACCCCGCUGUUCUGACGGUACCCAAAGAAUAAGCACCGGCUAACUUCGUG
rnacentral:rRNA from 1 species